rnacentral:rRNA from 1 species
UAGGGAAUCUUCCACAAUGGACGCAAGUCUGAUGGAGCAACGCCGCGUGAGUGAAGAAGGUUUUCGGACCGUAAAGCUCUGUUGUUGGUGAAGAAGGAUAGAGGUAGUAACUGGCCUUUAUUUGACGGUAAUCAACCAGAAAGUCACGGCUAACUACGUGCCAGCAGCCGCGGUAAUACGUAGGUGGCAAGCGUUGUCCGGAUUUAUUGGGCGUAAAGCGAGCGCAGGCGGAAGAAUAAGUCUGAUGUGAAAGCCCUCGGCUUAACCGAGGAAUUGCAUCGGAAACUGUUUUCUUGAGUGCAGAAGAGGAGAGUAGAACUCCAUGUGUAGCGGUGGAACGCGUAGAUAUAUGGAAGAAUACCAGUGGCGAAGGCGGCUCUCUGGUCUGCAACUGACGCUGAGGCUCGAAAGCAUGGGUAGCGAACAGGAUUAGAUACCCUGGUAGUCCAUGCCGUAAACGAUGAGUGCUAAGUGUUGGGAGGCUUCCGCCUCUCAGUGCUGCAGCUAACGCAUUAAGCACUCCGCCUGGGGGAGUACGACCGCAAGGUUGAAAC